ensembl:lncRNA
AAAUUCAAAAUAACUGACUUCCUGUUGGGAUUCGAAUUUCGUACCAAGAGACUUUUUUUGUAGAUAUUGGUGUGUUACAUGUGUGUACCGAUUUUUGUACAUGUACGUGAAACGUAGCUCGAGGCGCACUCCGUUGAAAAUGUAUAGGUGGCGCUAUCGAGGCAUUUUUGCCACACCCAAUGGAAUAUUGGGCAAGAUCGGACAUUUUAUGCCUGAGUUACAAUAACUUUUAUUCCCAUGGCGAGACAUCGAACUUUGUGACGGCGCCAUGGACACGCCCUUUAACGAAAACUCAAGAUCUUCACAAUUUAACAUCGCACAGGCCUUUAGAAUAGAGUGACUGAAAAAAAAAAAUGUAUGUCAUAAAAUUUCUCGGGGUAGUUUGUUACAGUGUAAAAUAUGUCACUUCCUGUUGCCAGUAGGUGGCGCUAUGACUAUAACUGAAUAUGGGCAUAUCAAUCUGUUCAGGUCAGGAGUCUUAUCAAACAUGUGAAGUUUGGGCAAGAUCGGUCAUUUUAUGCCUGAGUUACAAUAACUUUUAUUCCCAUGGCGAGACAUCAACAUUUGUCACGGCGCCAUGGACACACCGUUUAAUGAAAACUCAACAUGUUCACAAUUUAACAUCAUAAAGGCAUUUAGAUUAGACUGACCAAAAAAAAAUUAUAAAGUGUCAUAAAAAUUUCUAGGAGUAGUUUCGUUACAGUGUAAAAAUAUGUCACUUCCUGUUGCCAGUAGGUGGCGCUAUGACUAUAACUGAAUAUGGGCAUGUAGAUAUGUUCAGGUCAGGAGUUUUCUCAAACAUGUGAAGUUUGGGGCAGAUUGGACAUUGUAUGUCUGAGUUACAGCAACUUCAUUUUUCAUGGCGAAUCAUCGAAAUUCGUCAGGCCGCCACGGACACGCCCUUCAACGAAAACUCAAGAUCUUCGCAAUUUAACAUCGCAAAGGCCUUUAGAUUAGGCAUACCAAAUUUGGUGUUGAAUUGAAUAAAUCUCUAGGAGGAGUUCGUUAAAAUACAAGGCAUGCAAAUGACAAAAAUGAUGCAAAAUUUGCUCAUAAAAUUAAAAAUAACCGACUUCCUGUUGGGUUUCGGAUAUUGCUCCAAGAGUCUUUUUUGUAGGUACUGAUGCUUUACAUAUGUGUGCCAAUUUUCGUGCAUGUACGUGAAACACAGCUCGAGGGCUGUUGAUUUUUUACGAUAGGUGGCGCUGUCGAGCCAUUUUGCCACACCCUCUUCUGAAACCUAUAUCAGACGUAAAUUUUCACCAGGUCUGACGCGUGUGCAAAGUUUCAGGACUUUUCGAGCAUGUUUAGGCCCUCAAAAAUGCGAUUCAUUUUGGAGAAGAAGAAAAAGAAGAAGAUGAAGAAGAAGAAGAAGAAGAAGAAACGAAGCAGAUACAAGAGGGUCCUCACACCAUCGGUGCUCGGGCCCUAAUUAAAGCUGCAAGCAGCGAUGAACGGGCCCUCGCACCCGGGCUCACCACCACCGGGUGGCUUUUGUAAAACAGCGAACGGCGAGAAAUAUGCGUUUAAUGUGGUAAAUAUAAGAGGAAUAUGUCCAAAGUCAUUUAUAUGUGCCAAUCUUCCUGCUGCCAGCUGGUGGCGCUAUGACUAUAACUGAACAUUUGCCUUUAGAUAUCUUCAGGCCAUGACUCUUAUCAAAUAUUUGAAGUUUGGUGCAGAUUGGACAUUGCAUGUUUAAGUUAGUGUAAAAUAAGCCAUUUUCUGUUGUCAGCAGGUGGCGCUAUGAUUAU